GAGCUCAGUGGUAGUGCAGCUGCUUGGCAUGCAGAAGGUCUGAGGUUCAAUCCCUGGCAUUUCCA